rnacentral:rRNA from 1 species
AGAGUUUGAUCCUGGCUCAGGAUGAACGCUGGCGGUCUGCUUAACACAUGCAAGUCGAACGGAGUAGAAAUACUUAGUGGCGGACGGGUGAGUAACGCGUGAGAAUCUGCCUUCAGGACGGAGACAACAGUUGGAAACGACUGCUAAGCCCCGAUGAACCGAAAGGGAAAAUAUUUAUAGCCUGAAGAUGAGCUCGCGUCCGAUUAGCUAGUUGGGGGGGUAAAGGCCCACCAAGGCGACGAUCGGUAGCUGGUCUGAGAGGACGAUCAGCCACACUGGGACUGAGACACGGCCCAGACUCCUACGGGAGGCAGCAGUGGGGAAUUUUCCGCAAUGGGCGAAAGCCUGACGGAGCAAGACCGCGUGGGGGAAGAAGGCUCUUGGGUUGUAAACCCCUUUUCUCUGGGAAGAAAGUUGUGAAAGCAACCUGACGGUACCAGAGGAAUCAGCAUCGGCUAACUCUGUGCCAGCAGCCGCGGUAAGACGGAGGAUGCAAGCGUUAUCCGGAAUGAUUGGGCGUAAAGCGUCCGCAGGUGGCAGUUCAAGUCUGCUGUCAAAGACCGGGGCUUAACUUCGGAAAGGCAGUGGAAACUGAACAGCUAGAGUAUGGUAGGGGCAGAGGGAAUUCCUGGUGUAGCGGUGAAAUGCGUAGAGAUCAGGAAGAACAUCGGUGGCGAAGGGCUCUGCUGGACCAUAACUGACACUCAGGGACGAAAGCUAGGGGAGCGAAUGGGAUUAGAUACCCUAGUAGUCC